CAAAUAUUAAUAGGGCUUUCAGUAUCCAAUACCCAGAUCAUUGUAUCAAAAGGAGAGAAGUUACAAGGUGUUAUCACAUAAGUACCUUGUCCAACAACUGAUUGCUUUUUUUUUUUUUGCUUGUUCAGGUCAAAGAAAGCUAUAUACUGAGGAUAAUUCUUCUUUCAGUGACCUUGCUUCUUACAAAAGCACUCUGUCUGACU
rnacentral:lncRNA from 1 species